CUGUGAUGCUCUGAGGCUGCUCGCAUCCUCUGGCACUGGAAACCUGCAGCAUAUGGAAGGCAAGAUGGAUUACUUUAAGUAUCAGGAAAUCGUAAGAGAAAAUAUCAUGCCGACUGUGACCUUCCAACAAGGCAAUUAUCCCAAGCAUACCUCAAAUUCCAUCAAGCCUUGGUUGCAGUAAAAGUCCUGGAAAAUUCUACAGUGGCCAUCAGAGUCACUUGAACCCAACAGAAAAUCUCUGGUGGGAUUUGAAGAAGGUGGUUGCCGCACACAACCCAAGAAUACUACUGAACUUGAGGCAAUUUCUUAUAAGCAAUUGGCUAAUAUUCCUCAGGAAAGCUGUCAGAAGUUGGUGACUGGCUAUGCUUCUCAUAACAGCAAAAGGGUGCUCUUCUAAGUUUUAAAGAUGUUUGCCAUGAAGGGGUUGAAUAAUUUUGAGACUGGAGAAGUGUCAGGAUUCCUUAGAGACCCAACACGCAGGAUGUAAUAGAAAAGCGUAUAGUGGGCCUUAGAAUGGCCGGACUUAAUGCCAGACCGAUAAAGAAUGAUCGGGGACAAGCCAAGGUCAAGGGAACCAGAAAAAACUGAUUGCGAGAUUACCAAAGCUGAGUCAGGAAUACAGAAAUGAGAAUAGUCAGAAAGCCGAGGUCAAGACACAAGAACACACUGAAAAGCGAAGCACUAUUGGGAGCUGUGAGUAGAAAUACAACAGGGCAAAGAACUAUGGUUGAAUCUGCCUUUUAUAGGCUGGAUCUCUAAAAAUGUGAAGCCACGCCCCCAAACAUCCAAGUUUGAACGUUUUGGCGGGCCGUGGCGUCAUUAGCAUCAUGACGUCGGCGGGCACGCACCGCAUCAAAAAAGGGGGCGAGGUAACUGCGGCCGGCGUUGUAAAUGCUGGAGUGGAGACUGGAAGCAGGAGAAUGGCCAGUAAUGUGAGCAUGACAAAACCCCCCUCACUAGAACCGCCCACCGGAUGGGAAGGACCUGGACGUGAGUGAAAACGGGUGUGAAAUUACCUCAGAAGACAAGCAGCGUCAGAGGACUUGACCCAAGACUGUUCUUCUGGACCGUACCGCUUCCAAUCAAACAGAUACUGGAGACUACCACGGGACAUGCGAGAAUCCAAAAUGGACCCUACUUCAUUCUUCUCCUGAUCAUCGACUUGAACAGGGGAAGGAGGAACGAUCUCACUGGUAAAACGG